rnacentral:rRNA from 1 species
CCUACGGGUGGCAGCAGUGGGGGAUAUUGGACAAUGGGGGGAACCCUGAUCCAGCGACGCCGCGUGAGUGAAGAAGUAUUUCGGUAUGUAAAGCUCUGUCAGCAGGGAAGAAAGAAAUGACAGUACCUGACCAAGAAGCCUCGGCUAACUACGGGCCAGCAGCCGCUGUAAUACGGAGGGGGCAGUCGUUAUCCGGAAUUACGGGGUGUAAAGGGAGCGUAGACGGUUAGGUAAGUCUGGAGUGAAAGGCCGGGGCCUAACCCCGGGACUGCUCUGGAAACUGUUGAACUUGAGUGCAGGAGAGGUAAGCGGAAUUCGCGGUGUAGCGGUGAAAUGCGUAGAUAUUAGGAGGAACACCAGUGGCGAAGGCGGCUUACCGGCCUGACACUGACGUUGAGGCACGAAAGCGUGGGGAGCGAACAGGAUUAGAUACCCUUGUAGUC